GAUUAGUUCAGCUGGAUAGAAUGUCUGCCUACGGAGCAGAUGGUCGUAGGUUCGAAUCCUGCAUCGGGUACU
rnacentral:tRNA from 1 species